UGGAAGCCGGGGGCCGCCGGCUGUGAGGGCUGCUGCCACGUCUGCGGGGUCGCUGCUGUGGGGAGACUCGUAGGCGCGGGAUGGCGGCCCGGCGGCGGUGAGGGGGGUGCCGGGGGGACCCUGGCUGUGGGGCGGCGAUGGCGGCGGCGCUGCGGGCCGCCCUGCUGGUCGCGGCGCUGGGCUGCGCGGCCGCGGCGCUGAUCCCUGCGGCUGACGUGAAGGUGGAGGUGCUGCAGAAGCCGUUCCUCUGCCACAGGAGGACCAAGUGGGGGGAUAUGAUGCUGGUUCACUACGAGGGGUACUUGGAGAGGGACGGCACCAUGUUUCACUCCACUCACAAGCAUAACAAUGGUCAACCUAUGUGGUUUACACUUGGCAUAAGGGAAGCUAUCAAAGGCUGGGACAAAGGUUUGAAGGACAUGUGUGUGGGAGAGAAGCGGAAGCUAACUAUUCCACCAGCCCUUGCUUAUGGAAAAGAAGGGAAAGGAAAAAUUCCACCUGAGAGCACACUGAUUUUCAACAUUGACCUUCUAGAAAUUAGGAAUGGACCAAGGUCUCAUGAAUCAUUCCAAGAGAUGGAUCUUAAUGAUGACUGGAAAUUGUCCAAGCAGGAGGUGAAAAUCUACUUGAAGAAAGAGUUUGAAAAGCAUGGAGCCGUGGUAAAUGAAACCCAGCAUGAUGCUUUGGUUGAAGACAUAUUUGAUAAAGAAGAUGAAGACAAUGAUGGGUUUAUAUCUGCAAGGGAAUUUACGUACAAGCAUGAUGAGCUGUAGAAAAGGGUGGCAUAAUUUUUUUGACGCAAAUGGCAGUGACUUAGACUGUCUGGUUCUCUUGUCGUCUUAAUUCUGUGUUUUGGAGUUGACAGCUGCUGUUGGCAAAGAAACACUCUUUAUAUAAAGAGAAUUUCUGUUCAUUAUGUACAAAUGUUUUAAACUAUUUUAAAGUAUGAAAAUGUACCUCCUUUCAUGCAGCAAAGACUUGCACAUCAGUGUUUUUUAAAUUUUGUAUUAACUUAUUUUUCAGAAAUGAAACAAACUUUCCAGUUAUCAAACAUUGUGAAAAUCAAAAUCCAGUUCAGUGCCUUUCUGUGAUCUGUUUUAUGUAUAACUUCUAGUCUGUGGCUUAAUUACUCGACCUUCCUUCUUGUGUGUCACUACUUGAAAGGCAGUGUGCUGACCUUGCUUUUUGGUGCAGAUUUUUAAAAGAUGUGCUAGAAGGUAUAAGCAUAUCUUUAUACAGCUGAGAAACUGAUACAAAGCUGAAUGACAAGAAUGAUUAUCCUGUGCUGAUUGUGCCCUUCUAAAGGGAGAGUGUCACUAACCAUGCCAAUAAUUGUCUGCAUUUUUAUUUAAAUUAUGUGAGCGAAGUAGGAGUUAAAUGUUUCACUUCUAAUGUCAGCAACGUUCUAGGAAAUGUUUGUAACUUGGAAAAUGGCAAGUUGUGCUGCAGUGCAGAGGUAGCAUUCUUUACAUAAACACACAUACUUGUUUUGAAACUCGUAACUUGCAUUCAUGAAGAAAGAUUAUACCUUUCUCCUCUCAAGUUUUGAGGGAGAUGUUGCAAGUCUGAAGCUUUUCCAAUUUGCAGAAGGGGAAGAGCAUACUGACGUGAGGAUCGGUGUGGCCUGAAGAACAAUUUGCAUUGGCUUGCCAGCUGUGCAACUGCCUGAGUUGCAGAACUUGUUUCAUCAUUGCCCCUUUGCCAUAUUUGCACAAGUAGCACGAGUGAUGUGAAUUUUGGAUAAUAAAGUGACUUUUUAGAAAAAUAGAGGCAUGAGGUAAAUGUUACAGUGGUGUGUAACAGAGGUGGAGACCAUGAAGAUUUCAACUCCUUUUUUUUUGUUUUGUUUUGUUUGAGCUGAGAGAAAGAAACAUUUUGCAAUUGUCCAUGGUUUCUUAAAUAAGAGGGCAAGGUAUUGCAGGGAAGGAAUUAGCCUGUAUCCUGGUACCACUAACAUAUGGAUCUCUGAACACAGUAUUUUACUUGGAAAAUAUUGCUCAAGGCUGUGUGUGGACACAAAGCAAAUCCAGUUGUUUGAAACAGUUUGCUGCAUUGCACUAAUCCUUAACUAUUCCCAAGUGAGAAUCAACAUUCAAGGUUCUCAAUGCUGUAGAUGAGCUAGAUGUUUUCCGUGCCACCUAGCGGUGCAAGGCGUACUGCUGCAGUGCCAGCAGGAGCCAGCUGGCUACCGGCAGGAGAGCAGAGGCAGGUAGCUGCCUGUCCUCCAAGGGGAGAAGGAAUAUUGGAAUUUCAGUGGCACUCGGAAAUGUUUUGACUGGUUUAUCUGUGAAGUGCAAGGUAUAUUUCCCUUGAAGAAACAAAUCCUUGCUGCUUGUCUGUAAAAUGCAGCACUAAAGUGGAGGGGGUGCAAAAUGGUGUUGUGAGCACAUACCGGAUUGUUCCUCUUGCAUCUUAUAGCCUUCAUCACACAUUUCUUGUUAUUUUGUGGUUAUAUAGGAAAAUAUGUACUGAUGGUUUUUAGAACGGCAGCCUGUCAUUCAGAGGCACUACUCAGCAAUUACAGUGGGAGUUGGUGCCUUCUGUAGGUACAGAAGCAGCCUUCAGAGAUCAUUUUAUUUGAAAAUUCUUGAUAUGCAGUGCAGUGACACAAGAAAUCUUUUGGCAAAGCUUCAGGAAUGCUGUUUGUAGUCUGAAAUGUUUUUUAAAGCAUUCUUCUUUGAGAUCAACUGACAAGGCAAACAGUGUUGAAAACGAAGGAAUCACUUUAUUGGGUCUUAAAUCUUUGCUUUUCAGUACCUUAUGUCCUUGUGCUGCCAGCAACAUCCCCAGUGUAGAGGUGUUUUGGUGAGCGCUGUAUGUGACAGAGUCAUAAAACUGCAGUGUUAAGUACAUAUUGAACAAACUGCUACCGUAGUUUCUUCUUCAUGACAUUUAGAAUGAAAAUGAUCCACAGUGUGUUUCCUGAGUACUUCAGUGUAAAAAUAGGUGGUAUAGGUCAGCCUUUAAAUUACAGUUGGCUUCGUGGUACAUGUUCCCCACACCCCGUCAUUUCUGCUGUAUCCCUUGACUCAGAAAUCCCAGUUUCAGAUGGCAAGUGAGUGUCAGCAGGAUGGAGAGAGCUUGCUGCUUUGGGGGAUUCUGGGAAAAAGAGCAAAGCUAGGGGAAAUGUGGUGAGAGUGGAUGCACGCAGAGCAAUGUCAGAAAUGCAAAAAGAUUUUGUUUCCUAGAUUGUUUGGUAUCUGCUUGCUUGGCAGAAAGAACAUUGGCAGCCACUGAUGUAGGUAUUGCAAAUUAUAAGGCUGGUUCCUGAUCUGACUUUGACUAGAAAUCACUGCUUCAGCUAGUUUCUAUAUCGAUUUUUACUCUUAUGACAAAGUUUAAAUUCACGCUUCUGAGGUCCAUUAAAGAAUAUUCAAACUAGGUAUAUUGCAUUUGACUGCUGCUUAAAAAUACAUCAGCCACAUUAUAGAGCUUUUGCAAAAAAAAAAAAACAACCCACAAAAAACCAAAAACCCACCACCCCAAAACCCUUCAUGUAUCUUCAACACUGAAUUGUUUUUGGUAACAGGAAAUAAAACAAACAAAAACUGCUUAUAUUUGUAUAAUCCUGGAUAAUUUUAGCCUCUCUUGAAAGUUAAUCAUAAUGCUUACGUUCUGUGCCCUAGUUUUCUCUUGGUACACAGGAAAAACAACUGACAAAAUAUGGAUCUUUCUUUAGCUAUCCUGUUUCUGUUUUCAUGCUCGUGCUUGAUCAUGUCAACAGUUUCACACAAGAAAUGUAAUUGAAAAGCUCAGUAGGAAGCUGUGUAUCUGUUACAGGGACAAGGACCUUCGUUAUCAGCUUUCCCAGCCUGGAGGGGAUUCGGAUGGAGCCUCCUCCUGCAUCAUGUUUCUUCCUUCUGGGAGGUUCUUUUCCAAAAGCAGGUUGGUUUUGAUAGAGGUUGCACCCAGUUAGGAGCUGUGUGGUACUUUUGUCCUCUUGAGUGAUGUAAAAAAAAAAAAAAAAAAAAAAAAAAAAAGUAGGAGCUUGGUUUAGCUGAGAAAUUUGCCAUAAAGAAAGAGGAUAGUUUGAAACAUGUCAAGUAAGUCAUUUUGCUCAAGGUUUAUGAAGGGCAUGUUCCUGAUGGAGGGCUGGAG